GACGAACGCUGGCGGCGUGCUUAACACAUGCAAGUCGAACGGAAAGGCCCUGCUUUUGUGGGGUGCUCGAGUGGCGAACGGGUGAGUAACACGUGAGUAACCUGCCCUUGACUUUGGGAUAACUUCAGGAAACUGGGGCUAAUACCGGAUAGGAGCUCCUGCUGCAUGGUGGGGGUUGGAAAGUUUCGGCGGUUGGGGAUGGACUCGCGGCUUAUCAGCUUGUUGGUGGGGUAGUGGCUUACCAAGGCUUUGGCGGGUAGCCGGCCUGAGAGGGUGACCGGCCACCUGGGGACUGAGAUACGGAGCAGACUCCAACGGGAGGCAGCAGGGGGGAAUAUUGCACAAUGGGCGGAAGCCUGAUGCGGCAACGCCGCGUGCGGGAUGACGGCCUUCGGGUUGUAAAACGCUUUCGCCUGUGACGAAGCGUGAGUGACGGUAAUGGGUAAAGAAGCACCGGCUAACUACGUG
rnacentral:rRNA from 1 species